CAGUAGCCGCGGUAAUACGUAGGUGGCAAGCGUUAUCCGGAAUUAUUGGGCGUAAAGCGCGCGUAGGCGGUUUUUUAAGUCUGAUGUGAAAGCCCACGGCUCAACCGUGGAGGGUCAUUGGAAACUGAAAAACUUGAGUGCAGAAGAGGAGAGUGGAAUUCCACGUGUAGCGGUGAAAUGCGUAGAGAUGUGGAGGAACACCAGUGGCGAAGGCGACUCUCUGGUCUGUAACUGACGCUGAGGAGCGAAAGCGUGGGGAGCGAGCAGGAUUAGAUACCCCCGUAGUCCCUGUCUCUUAUAA
rnacentral:rRNA from 1 species